rnacentral:rRNA from 1 species
UACGUAGGGUGCGAGCGUUGUCCGGAAUUACUGGGCGUAAAGAGCUCGUAGGUGGUUUGUCGCGUUGUUCGUGAAAACUCACAACUCAAUUGUGGGCGUGCGGGCGAUACGGGCAGACUGGAGUACUGCAGGGGGAGACUGGAAUUCCUGGUGUAGCGGUGGAAUGCGCAGAUAUCAGGAGGAACACCGGUGGCGAAGGCGGGUCUCUGGGCAGUAACUGACGCUGAGGAGCGAAAAGCGUGGGGAGCGAACAGG